UACGGAGGGUGCAAGCGUUAUCCGGAUUUACUGGGUUUAAAGGGUGCGUAGGCGGGCCUUUAAGUCAGUGGUGAAAGCUCCGAGCUUAACUCGGAAACUGCCAUUGAUACUAUUGGUCUUGAAUUCGGUCGAGGUUGGCGGAAUGUGUCGUGUAGCGGUGAAAUGCUUAGAUAUGACACAGAACACCGAUUGCGAAGGCAGCUAGCUAGACCGACAUUGACGCUGAGGCACGAAAGCGUGGGGAGCAAACAGG
rnacentral:rRNA from 1 species